CCAGUGGAGGCCUUCUUGGUGAUUGUCCGGGCGAUGGUGGAGCGCAGGAUGGACCCAAGAAAGGCUCAAAAUGCUGGGAACGUCAUCAGGCCCAUCAUCGAUUCCAGCGAGCCGGCCAACUCGAAGGACAAUGCGGCCGGAGUGCCUUAGUCCUGGUGCCAUUCCGGCAAGAAGGAGGAGGUGGAGCACUGGAGCUCAUGCAGGAGAUCCUGGCCGGAAGACAGGCGGCGGAGCAUCCAGAUUGAAUGUAGUGGUGCGGCCCGUGCCACUUGUGAACCGCAGCACAGGGCCUGGUCGUCAAAGAACACGUGACCGCGGUCGUAAGGCGCCCAGUCGUGAGGCAGGGGACAGGAAAGCGGCAAAGUUUCGGGCGGCGGCAGGCUCCCAGAGGAUGGUAAGCGCCACCAGGUGUUGGGAGGCUGCACUGCAGUCAGGCAAUAUAAGCGGUGAGUCAGACCACAGUCCCUCAGAUGGCCAGUCAUCACCACAUCCUCUUAGGGACAUGUGUGAAUUUAGGGGUGAGUGGGCCAGGAAGGUUAGAAGGGGGGGUUCCCCUAAAACGGUCCAAGCUCCGACUGGGGCCGGGGUCCCCAUUUAGGUUGCACACCCAUACAAAGAAGCAAGGUUGGUUGGCUGAGAAAGGGUCCCCAGCGCAGUUCAGGCUCCCACCAGGCGAGGUCUUAACUGUGGGGAUUGCACAGUUUCUAUUGCGGCCCUGUCUGGGGCCAGGGAGCUGGUGCAGUG